AUUGAACGCUGGCGGCAGGCCUAACACAUGCAAGUCGAGCGGAUGAAGGGAGCUUGCUCCUGGAUUCAGCGGCGGACGGGUGAGUAAUGCCUAGGAAUCUGCCUGGUCGUGGGGGAUAACGUCCGGAAACGGGCGCUAAUACCGCAUACGUCCUGAGGGAGAAAGUGGGGGAUCUUCGGACCUCACGCUAUCAGAUGAGCCUAGGUCGGAUUAGCUAGUUGGUGGGGUAAAGGCCUACCAAGGCGACGAUCCGUAACUGGUCUGAGAGGAUGAUCAGUCACACUGGAACUGAGACACGGUCCAGACUCCUACGGGAGGCAGCAGUGGGGAAUAUUGGACAAUGGGCGAAAGCCUGAUCCAGCCAUGCCGCGUGUGUGAAGAAGGUCUUCGGAUUGUAAAGCACUUUAAGUUGGGAGGAAGAGCAGUAAGUGAAUACCUUGCUGUUUUGACGGUACCAACAGAAUAAGCACCGGCUAACUUCGUG
rnacentral:rRNA from 1 species